GGCCCACGCUACCGGGAGCUGGUCAAGAACUGGGUCCCGACGGCCUACACAUGGGGCGCUGUGGGCGCCGUGGGGCUGGUGUGGGCCACCGAUUGGCGGCUGAUCCUGGACUGGGUACCUUACAUCAAUGGCAAGUUUAAGAAGGAUAAUUAAUUACACAAACCCUUCACAGACUGCUCUGAGUUUGGCUCUUGUUGCCCAGGCUGGAGCGCAAUGACGCGAUCUUGGCGCACUGCAACCUCCACCUCCCGGGUUCAAGCGAUUCUCCUGCCUCAGCCUCCCAAGGAGCUGGGAUUACAGGCAUCUGCCACCACACCAGGCUAAUUCUGUAUUUUUAGCAGAGAUGGGGUUUCUCCAUGUUAAUCAAGCUGGUCUCAAACUCCUGACCUCAGGUGCCUGGUGGUGCUAGCUCCUCCCACCUCAGCACCUGCUGCAUCUGGAGCAGCCCAAGCCUCAGGAUGGACAAGAGGAAACCCACAGCUCAGCUUCAGGCUUCUUAUGUUUCUGAAAACAGCUUGGAUAUUUUAAUGCACGUUGCAUUAAACCUCACUGAAACCUGCUCCGUGCCCGGAUGUUGAUCAUGCUGGUGGCUUGGUUACUGUGACUGUAGCUGGAGUGGCACAGGUGACCCAGGCGUCCUUUCAGCUCCAGAAUGUUGCAAGUCUAGGAGAGUGUUCCAAUGGCUGACAGAAACUGCCUAUUUGAAAUGGCUCAUAAGUAGUAUCUGCAGUGUGUUCAUCCGUUGCUGCCUUAACAAGUCACCCACACGUAGUGGCUUAAAGCAACGAACAUUCACUCUCUCACAGUCUGUGUCAGUCGGGGAUUUGGGAGUGAUGUAUCUGGGUGGUUGUGGCCCAGAGUCUCUCAUGAGGUUGCAGUUAAGACAUCAGCCAAGGCCACUUCGUCUGAGGAAGGCUCAACUGGGGCUGGAGCCACUUCCAAGCCAGUGCCCUCACGUGGCUGUCGGUGACAGCCACAGUUCCUUCCCAUGGGGGCCCCUACACGAAGCUGCUUGAGCAUCCUCACGGCAUGGCCUCUGCCUUCCCCAGAGCAGGUGAACCAAGGGAGAGGAAGGAGCAAGCCACAGUGCUUCUAUGAGCCACCCUGAGAAGUCUCACGUGAUCACUUCCGCCACAGCCUGUUUAUCAAAAGCAAGCCCCCCAGGCCCAGCCCACGUGCAGAGGGAGGAGAAUGAGGUUCUGUGUUUUGAAGGGAAGAAUAUCAGAAUUGGUAGACAUUUCAAACUGUCACAUUAGGGAUACAAAAAUGAACAGGCUGGGAGUGGUGGCUCAGCCUACAAUCCCAACACUUUGGGAGGCUGAGGAAGGGGCAUCACUUGAACCAGGAGUUCAGUACUAACCUGGGCAACAAAGAGGCCCCUGUCUCUGAUAAAAAGAAAAAAAAUGAAAAAAUAAAAAUGAACAGGUA
rnacentral:lncRNA from 10 species